GUAGGGGGCAAGCGUUGAUCGGAAUUACUGGGCGUAAAGAGUGCGCAGGCGGCUUUGCAAGACAGAUGUGAAAUCCCCGGGCUCAACCGGGGAACUGCAUUUGAGACUGCUUGGCUCGAGUGCGGGAGAGGGGGAUGGAAUUCCCCGUGUAGCGGUGAAAUGCGUAGAUAUGCGGAGGAACACCGAUGGCGAAGGCAAUCCCCUGGGCCGGCCCUGACGCUCAUGCACGAAAGCGUGGGGAGCAAACAGGAUUAGAUACCCUGGUAGUCCACGCCCUAAACGAUGUCCACUGGGUGUUGGAGGGAUUGCUGUUCACUAAGCAAACUCACACGUGAUAUUGAUCCCCUGUGGAGAACAGCCGCGCGGUUG
rnacentral:rRNA from 1 species